rnacentral:rRNA from 1 species
CUCUGGGCCGUAACUGACGCUGAGGAGCGAAAGCGUGGGGAGCGAACAGGAUUAGAUACCCUGGUAGUCCACGCCGUAAACGUUGGGCGCUAGAUGUAGGGACCUUUCCACGGUUUCUGUGUCGUAGCUAACGCAUUAAGCGCCCCGCCUGGGGAGUACGGCCGCAAGGCUAAAACUCAAAGGAAUUGACGGGGGCCCGCACAAGCGGCGGAGCAUGCGGAUUAAUUCGAUGCAACGCGAAGAACCUUACCAAGGCUUGACAUACACCGGAAACGGCCAGAGAUGGUUGCCCCCUUGUGGUCGGUGUACAGGUGGUGCAUGGUUGUCGUCAGCUCGUGUCGUGAGAUGUUGGGUUAAGUCCCGCAACGAGCGCAACCCUCGUUCUAUGUUGCCAGCGCGUUAUGGCGGGGACUCAUAGGAGACUGCCGGGGUCAACUCGGAGGAAGGUGGGGAUGACGUCAAAUCAUCAUGCCCCUUAUGUCUUGGGCUUCACGCAUGCUACAAUGGCCGGUACAAAGGGCUGCGAUACCGUAAGGUGGAGCGAAUCCCAAAAAGCCGGUCUCAGUUCGGAUUGAGGUCUGCAACUCGACCUCAUGAAGUCGGAGUCGCU